UCCGAUAUGGUGUAGUGGCCAACAUUCCGCGUUUUCAAGUUCACUUGAUGCUCCGCGGCGCCCGGGGUUCGAUUCCCCGUAUCGGAG